rnacentral:lncRNA from 1 species
GUUAAUCCGGUGAGAGGGACCAAGGGGUGUGUUGGAAGGUUAGGUGAUGGAAAGCGUUGUUGUGGCAUCGAGGCUGCCGUGGCAACGAUGAUGGGGCGAGUGAAGUCAGAGGCGUUGUGGUGGUUGCGGUAGUCGGCUCUUUCUCCGACGUGUCCGUGAGAUUACCUCGGUUUUGUUUGUUGCAGUGAAGUCGGAGAUGCGGCGGCGGGGCCCCUGUGGCAAUGAUGACAGGCAGCAGCUGGUCCGUUCGGUGGUCUUCCACGGCGCCA